AUUGAACGCUGGCGGCAUGCCUUACACAUGCAAGUCGAACGGUAACAGGUCUUCGGAUGCUGACGAGUGGCGAACGGGUGAGUAAUACAUCGGAACGUGCCCGAUCGUGGGGGAUAACGAGGCGAAAGCUUUGCUAAUACCGCGUACGAUCUACGGAUGAAAGCGGGGGAUCUUCGGACCUCGCGCGGACGGAGCGGCCGAUGGCAGAUUAGGUAGUUGGUGGGAUAAAAGCUUACCAAGCCGACGAUCUGUAGCUGGUCUGAGAGGAUGAUCAGCCACACUGGGACUGAGACACGGCCCAGACUCCUACGGGAGGCAGCAGUGGGGAAUUUUGGACAAUGGGCGAAAGCCUGAUCCAGCCAUGCCGCGUGCAGGAUGAAGGCCUUCGGGUUGUAAACUGCUUUUGUACGGAACGAAAAGCCUCUUUCUAAUAAAGAGGGGUCAUGACGGUACCGUAAGAAUAAGCACCGGCUAACUACGUG
rnacentral:rRNA from 1 species